UUAAAUUGAAGAGUUUGAUCAUGGCUCAGAUUGAACGCUGGCGGCAGGCCUAACACAUGCAAGUCGAACGGUAGCAGGAAGAAGCUUGCUUCUUUGCUGACGAGUGGCGGACGGGUGAGUAAUGUCUGGGAAACUGCCUGAUGGAGGGGGAUAACUACUGGAAACGGUAGCUAAUACCGCAUAACGUCGCAAGACCAAAGAGGGGGACCUUCGGGCCUCUUGCCAUCGGAUGUGCCCAGAUGGGAUUAGCUAGUAGGUGGGGUAACGGCUCACCUAGGCGACGAUCCCUAGCUGGUCUGAGAGGAUGACCAGCCACACUGGAACUGAGACACGGUCCAGACUCCUACGGGAGGCAGCAGUGGGGAAUAUUGCACAAUGGGCGCAAGCCUGAUGCAGCCAUGCCGCGUGUAUGAAGAAGGCCUUCGGGUUGUAAAGUACUUUCAGCGGGGAGGAAGGGAGUAAAGUUAAUACCUUUGCUCAUUGACGUUACCCGCAGAAGAAGCACCGGCUAACUCCGUGCCAGCAGCCGCGGUAAUACGGAGGGUGCAAGCGUUAAUCGGAAUUACUGGGCGUAAAGCGCACGCAGGCGGUUUGUUAAGUCAGAUGUGAAAUCCCCGGGCUCAACCUGGGAACUGCAUCUGAUACUGGCAAGCUUGAGUCUCGUAGAGGGGGGUAGAAUUCCAGGUGUAGCGGUGAAAUGUGUAGAGAUCUGGAGGAAUACCGGUGGCGAAGGCGGCCCCCUGGACGAAGACUGACGCUCAGGUGCGAAAGCGUGGGGAGCAAACAGGAUUAGAUACCCUGGUAGUCCACGCCGUAAACGAUGUCGACUUGGAGGUUGUGCCCUUGAGGCGUGGCUUCCGGAGCUAACGCGUUAAGUCGACCGCCUGGGGAGUACGGCCGCAAGGUUAAAACUCAAAUGAAUUGACGGGGGCCCGCACAAGCGGUGGAGCAUGUGGUUUAAUUCGAUGCAACGCGAAGAACCUUACCUGGUCUUGACAUCCACAGAACUUUCCAGAGAUGGAUUGGUGCCUUCGGGAACUGUGAGACAGGUGCUGCAUGGCUGUCGUCAGCUCGUGUUGUGAAAUGUUGGGUUAAGUCCCGCAACGAGCGCAACCCUUAUCCUUUGUUGCCAGCGGUCCGGCCGGGAACUCAAAGGAGACUGCCAGUGAUAAACUGGAGGAAGGUGGGGAUGACGUCAAGUCAUCAUGGCCCUUACGACCAGGGCUACACACGUGCUACAAUGGCGCAUACAAAGAGAAGCGACCUCGCGAGAGCAAGCGGACCUCAUAAAGUGCGUCGUAGUCCGGAUUGGAGUCUGCAACUCGACUCCAUGAAGUCGGAAUCGCUAGUAAUCGUGGAUCAGAAUGCCACGGUGAAUACGUUCCCGGGCCUUGUACACACCGCCCGUCACACCAUGGGAGUGGGUUGCAAAAGAAGUAGGUAGCUUAACCUUCGGGAGGGCGCUUACCACUUUGUGAUUCAUGACUGGGGUGAAGUCGUAACAAGGUAACCGUAGGGGAACCUGCGGUUGGAUCACCUCCUUACCUUAAAGAAGC
rnacentral:rRNA from 1 species